ACCUGCCUGGCUCAGUCGGUGGAGCAUGGGACUCUUGAUCUCAGGGUUGUGGGUUCAAGCCCCAUGUCGGGCA
rnacentral:tRNA from 1 species